ensembl:lncRNA
UCUGUGGUUGGUAUACUAGACAUGUUUUUUACAAAACUUCAAUGCACUGUCUGUGGCAUAUGUAUUUUGGACUUUGCUCUCUACUAAUGCAGAUUGUAUGCCCACAACAUAAAGACUGCUAACAGGAUUGCUGACAUGACUGAGGGAGUAUCUAAUGUGUACCAUAUGAGCCUGGCUACUUCAGAUUUGGGUCGUCUCACAAAGAUGUCUGAAAUGGACCUUAAUAAAGCUGAGGCAGAACCUGUUUCAAAGAAGGGCUCCCAUUUUGAGAGUUCAGACCCACCUCUGGGUGUUUGUACCUCCAUGAUAAACACAAGACCAAUGGAGGCUACAUCCAGCUGUCAGGAUGAAGGCCGGUCCACAGCACAGAGCCCCAUACAGCUGGAAAAGCUACACCCAUCACCACCCAGCCAUGUGUCUUUAAAAAGUGAUUGGUCAAUACAACAGCCACUGAACUUCACAGAUACGUCUUUUUCUUCUGGAUAUGGGACCAAUCAAAACGCCGAGCAGAGAAUUGACCAGAGCAUCUGUUUGAGUACUAGUAAGAUACCAGUAAGCUCUGAAAUGUAA